GUUCAAAGUGAUCAUUUUGAUGAGUUUUUUGCCCCUAAAUUGGACAAACAUGGUUAUCAAGCUCUCUACAAGAAGAAGACAACAGAGGUUUACACCGGGACUUAUGCUAUCGAUGGUUGUGCAACAUUUUUUCGAAGGGACAGAUUUUCCCAUGUGAAGAAAUACGAGGUCGAAUUCAACAAGGCUGCUCAGUCACUGACAGAUGCUGUGGUCCCAAUCACUCAGAAGAAAGCUG